GAUCCGAGAGUUAUCUUUAAGCCCCGCCCACUUACGUCAUCUUUGACCUGCAUCACAAACUUUCAACAUGGCGAGCGAUUCAGCCUCGGCAACAGAUUCGGUGGUAGAUGUUCCAGAUACGAUAUCGGUGUCGUAUCUCGAUUGAAGUAAAGAUUUAUCACGGAAAGUGUUAGAGAAGGGUUUAAAUUAUUUCACACAAGGUUAUAUUCAUAAUAUCCGAGUGUCAAAGCCUGAAAAUAGGAUACGAGUUGAUGCAAAAUGCUGGCGAUCCAUGAGGAAGUCACAGCCGCCGUAUUCGCUGCAGAUCGAAAUAAAUGUCGAAAAAUCAACUUUGACCGAAUCAUAUUGCAAAUGCAAAGCAGGACUCGAUGGUCUCUGUUCACACAUUGUUGGACUUCUUAAAACGCUGCAAGGCUUAAAACUGCAGAAUUUCAAAAAUGCACCUGAUCACCAAAGUUGCACUAGUUUACCACAACAGUGGCAUGUUCCCCGGGGUACCAAAAUAAAACCUGUACCCUUAAACCAUGUUGUUGUUGUCAGGCCCAAAGAAAAAAAGGAAGAGGAAACCAGUCAUUUGCCAUUUUGACGAAAAUUACAAACUUCCACGAGUAGACAAUGAUGACAUAGAGAAGCUUAUGAACAUAAAAGGUACGCCGCUGGAAUAUAUGAUUUCUAAAGAAGCACCAAAAUCACAGUCAUACUUUGGAGAAGUUCAAACUGGCUCCAUUUUGUCAUAUCAGGUAUUUCAGUGUAUUGAUGAUGAC